UUGGUUAUUGCAUGAAGUUGACUGCUGUGGUCAAUGUUUGUACCUGGAUGACUGGCAUGUUGAAUUGGUCCUAAUUUAACCCCUCAGUCAGUUGGAUGGGAUGUGGAGGCAUCUCCGACUAUUGAGCCAGAGCAUGAUUUUCAAUCGAGAUUUUGAUCGGCCAGCCCACUGUGGUAUUGGAACGUUAUGAAGAUGUUCUUCAUGAUGGCAUUAUUGUAGAUCUCGUACUUCUUUCUGAAACUGGGCCUAAACCCUUGCUUUAGCGUUAAUCUAUUGCUGUAGAUUUUCAGCUUGGGCCAGACUGGUUGGAGUUGGAUGGCGAUCAGUAAGACGAUGAUGACCAUACCUGCAAAACAAGUCUCUAGUCGAGGUUGGUUUCGAUAGAGACCCUUCGAUACUCAAGUUAGACAUUCGUAAAACAGAUGGGGAGGAGCAUACGCGAGAG
rnacentral:lncRNA from 1 species